rnacentral:rRNA from 1 species
UACGGGGGGUGCGAGCGUUGUCCGGAUUCACUGGGCGUAAAGGGCGCGUAGGCGGCUGGCUCAGUCGGGCCUGUAAGUCCAGGGCUCAACCCUGGAAUGCCGGUGGAAACUGUCGGGCUAGAGUCCGGAAGAGGCGAGUGGAAUUCCUGGUGUAGCGGUGAAAUGCGCAGAUAUCAGGAGGAACACCAAUGGCGAAGGCAGCUCGCUGGGACGGUACUGACGCUGAGACGCGAAAGCGUGGGGAGCGAACAGG